CCCUUAGAUGUUCUGGGCCGCACGCGUGCUACACUGAGUGGAUCAGCGGGUCAGGUUGCGCGAAAGUGUUUCCUAAUCUUGAAAUCCGCUCGUGAUGGGGAUUGACGGUUGCAAUUUUCCGUCAUGAACGAGGAAUACCUUGUAAGCGCGGGUCAUCAUCCCGCGCUGAAUACGUCCCUGCCCUUUGUACACACCGCCCGUCGCUCCUACCGAUUGAGUGGUCCGGUGAGGCUUUGGGAUCUGAGCAAAAAGAGCGUUUCGCUCGUUUGGCUCGGAAAACUCAGUCGAACCUUAUCAUUUAGAGGAAGGAGAAGUCGUGACA
rnacentral:rRNA from 1 species